rnacentral:rRNA from 1 species
AAUCAACGCUGGCGGCGUGCCUCAGACAUGCAAGUCGAACGAUUAAACUUUCCUUCGGGAAAGAUAUAAAGUGGCGCACGGGUGAGUAACACGUAAGUAAUCUACCUUCGAGUGGGGAAUAACGUUCGGAAACGAACGCUAAUACCGCAUAAUGCAGCGGCACCUAAUGGUGACAGUUGUUAAAGGAGCAAUUCGCUUGAAGAGGAGCUUGCGGCAGAUUAGCUAGUUGGUAAGGAACGGCUUACCAAGGCUACGAUCUGUAACCGGU